UCCUUGGUAGCUCAGAAGGUAAAGUAGCCACCUGCAAUGUGGGAGACCUGGGUUCGAUCCCUGGAUUGGGAA
rnacentral:tRNA from 1 species